rnacentral:rRNA from 1 species
GUAACGCGUAUGCAAUCUGCCUUUCACAGAGGGAUAGCCCAGAGAAAUUUGGAUUAAUACCUCAGAGCAAACCAGACCGCAGGUUUGAUUAUUAAAGUCACAACGGUGAAAGAUGAGCAUGCGUCCCAUUAGCUAGUUGGUAAGGUAACGGCUUACCAAGGCAACGAUGGGUAGGGGUCCUGAGAGGGAGAUCCCCCACACUGGUACUGAGACACGGACCAGACUCCUACGGGAGGCAGCAGUGAGGAAUAUUGGUCAAUGGGCGCAAGCCUGAACCAGCCAUGCCGCGUGCAGGAUGACGGUCCUAUGGAUUGUAAACUGCUUUUGCACAGGAAGAAACACUCCGACGUGUCGGAGCUUGACGGUACUGUGAGAAUAAGGAUCGGCUAACUCCGUGCCAGCAGCCGCGGUAAUACGGAGGAUCCAAGCGUUAUCCGGAAUCAUUGGGUUUAAAGGGUCCGUAGGCGGUCUUGUAAGUCAGUGGUGAAAGCCCAUCGCUCAACGGUGGAACGGCCAUUGAUACUGCAGGACUUGAAUUAUUGGGAAGUAACUAGAAUAUGUAGUGUAGCGGUGAAAUGCUUAGAGAUUACAUGGAAUACCAAUUGCGAAGGCAGGUUACUACCAAUGGAUUGACGCUGAUGGACGAAAGCGUGGGUAGCGAACAGGAUUAGAUACCCUGGUAGUCCACGCCGUAAACGAUGGAUACUAGCUGUUGGGAGCAAUCUCAGUGGCUAAGCGAAAGUGAUAAGUAUCCCACCUGGGGAGUACGAACGCAAGUUUGAAACUCAAAGGAAUUGACGGGGGCCCGCACAAGCGGUGGAGCAUGUGGUUUAAUUCGAUGAUACGCGAGGAACCUUACCAAGGCUUAAAUGCAGACUGACCGAUUUGGAAACAGAUCUUUCGCAAGACAGUUUACAAGGUGCUGCAUGGUUGUCGUCAGCUCGUGCCGUGAGGUGUCAGGUUAAGUCCUAUAACGAGCGCAACCCCUGUUGUUAGUUGCCAGCGAGUCAAGUCGGGAACUCUAACAAGACUGCCAGUGCAAACUGUGAGGAAGGUGGGGAUGACGUCAAAUCAUCACGGCCCUUACGCCUUGGGCUACACACGUGCUACAAUGGCCGGUACAGAGAGCAGCCACUGGGCGACCAGGAGCGAAUCUAUAAAGCCGGUCACAGUUCGGAUCGGAGUCUGCAACUCGACUCCGUGAAGCGGAAUCGCUAGUAAUCGGAUAUCAGCCAUGAUCCGGUGAAUACGUUCCCGGGCCUGUACAC